rfam:Ochotona princeps cont2.539184, whole genome shotgun sequence.
AAGCACCGGCCGUGGAUUGCCUUUUGCUCCAAAGAAUUUUUUGCUGAUUUUUUUUUUUUAGCGAUUUUUCCGCGGAGUCCCACUGGCGCUUAGACUCUCGGACAGGUUGUCCCGUCCCUCCCGCUAGAUUGAUGAGAUCUGGGAUC